rnacentral:rRNA from 1 species
UACGUAGGGUGCGAGCGUUGUCCGGAAUUAUUGGGCGUAAAGAGCUCGUAGGCGGUGUGUCGCGUCGGUCGUGAAACUUGGGGCUUAACCCUGAGCUUGCGGUCGAUACGGGCAGGCUAGAGUUCGGUAGGGGAGGACUGGAAUUCCUGGUGUAGCGGUGAAAUGCGCAGAUAUCAGGAGGAACACCGGUGGCGAAGGCGGGUCUCUGGGCAGUAACUGACGCUGAGGAGCGAAAGCGUGGGGAGCGAACAGG